rnacentral:rRNA from 1 species
CCUACGGGUGGCAGCAGUGAGGAAUAUUGGUCAAUGGACGGAAGUCUGAACCAGCCAUGCCGCGUGCAGGAUGACGGCUCUAUGAGUUGUAAACUGCUUUUGUAUUAAGGUAAACACCCCUACGUGUCUGGGCUCGAAAGUAUAAUACGAAUACGGAUCGGCUAACUCCGCGCCAGCAGCCGCGGUAAUACGGAGGAUCCAAGCGUUGUGCGGAUUUAUUGGGUUUAAAGGGUGCGUAGGCGGUGUGAUAAGUUAGAGGUGAAAUACCGGGGCUCAACACAGGAACUGCCUCUCAUACUGUUGAACUAGAGAGUAGUUGCGGUAGGCGGAAUGUAUGGUGUAGCGGUGAAAUGCGUAGAGAUCAGACAGAACACCAGUUGCGAAGGCAGCUUACCAAACUAUAUCUGACGUUGAGGCACGAAAGCGUGGGUAGCAAACAGGAUUAGAUACCCGAGUAGUC